CUCUUAUCAAGAGUGGUGGAGGGAUGUGCCCUACGAAACCCAGCAACCGUCAUUGUAUGACAUGGUGCUAAUUCACAUAAAGUUAAUCAUACUUUAGAAGAUGAGAG
rnacentral:ncRNA from 18 species